rnacentral:rRNA from 1 species
UACAGAGGUCUCAAGCGUUGUUCGGAUUCAUUGGGCGUAAAGGGUGCGUAGGUGGCGUGGUAAGUCGGGUGUGAAAUCUCGGAGCUUAACUCCGAAACUGCAUUCGAUACUGCCGUGCUUGAGGACUGGAGAGGAGACUGGAAUUUACGGUGUAGCGGUGAAAUGCGUAGAUAUCGUAAGGAAGACCAGUGGCGAAGGCGGGUCUCUGGACAGUUCCUGACGCUGAGGCACGAAGGUCAGGGGAGCAAACGGG